GAAAUCUUAAUUAAAUCCUAGUCAAAAUUUAAUCAAAUUCUAGUCAAAUUCUAAUCAAAUACUAAUCAAAUCCUAAUCAAAUCUUAAAUAAAUACUAAUAAAAUCCUAAUAAAUCUUAAUCAAAUCUUAAUUAAAUUCUAAACAAAUCUUAAUUAAAUUCUAAACAAAUCUUAAUCAAAUCCUAGUCAAAUUCUAAACAAAUCCUAACCAAAUUCUAAAAAAAUCUUAAACACACUCCAACCAAAUCCUAAACAAACCUUAACCAAAUCCUAAACAAAUCUGAAAUAAAUCCUAAACAAACCCUAACAAAAUCCUAAAUAAACUCUGAACAAAUCCUAACCAAAUCCUAAAUAAUUCUAAGUAAUUUCUAUAUCAGAUUUAAACCUCAAUAACUAAUAAAUGAAUUGUUGAUUUUAACUCAAAAUUUGCAUACUUCUUAAUAUUUAAGUUGAAAACAGGCACAAAAGUUUUGAAAAAGAUCGAACUCACCAAAAAGAAGAUCAAUCCUAAUAUUUGCUCAGAUGUUAAUCGGCCUCCUUCUCCAAUCUGAAUGUUAAAUUUUCAAUGCCAAUAUCUCCUUAUCAAACCAUUCAAUUGAUUUCAAAUUUCUCAAAUAUAUAGAAAAAUAAGUCUACUAUCCACAUACAUAAUUUUUACUCCAAUCCAAUUGAUAGAUUGUA
rnacentral:lncRNA from 1 species